UACGUAGGUGGUAAGCGUUAUCCGGAAUUAUUGGGCGUAAAGAGCGCGCAGGUGGUUGAUUAAGUCUGAUGUGAAAGCCCACGGCUUAACCGUGGAGGGUCAUUGGAAACUGGUCGACUUGAGUGCAGAAGAGGGAAGUGGAAUUCCAUGUGUAGCGGUGAAAUGCGUAGAGAUAUGGAGGAACACCAGUGGCGAAGGCGGCUUCCUGGUCUGUAACUGACACUGAGGCGCGAAAGCGUGGGGAGCAAACAGGAUUAGAUACCCG
rnacentral:rRNA from 1 species